UAAUGAAACGGAGUGCGAUGAUAAUAUUUUAGUAACACUCGCGUCCGGUAGACAGAAAUCGCCCAUGAUUAUUGGAGAGUAUACUCGCGGCAUUAACGCCUGAAAACCCCCGAGGAUUUAUUUCGAGGUCCUUAAUGCGAGCUAAUUCGUAGUUACUGUGCAUACUGCUUAUUGUUUACUCGCUGGUACUUUUCGACGUUGAAAUCGUUUGCA